ACGAACAAAAGGCCCGACUUACAUGAGAGUCUUCAUGUUCAUCGUAAGCGAUGCAUCACCUGCGCACCCAAGGGGCUUUCUCUAUCUGUAAACAUCGAGAUCGUCUCGAAAGGCUGGCCGGCUGGCCCUUGGUUCAUUAAAAUUCCAACCUGAAACGCACCAACAUCAUGAUUGCGCGCCUCGGAGCUUAUUUUUUUUGUCUAGCCAGCCACCGCCACAGCGAGCCGACGAAAUGAUCCGAUCCAUCGCGGUUUGUGCUCUCUCAUCUUUUCCCACUUGAACUUGACAAUGUGAAUGCCAUGGAAUCAAAUGGUGGUGCCACCAUUUUGCUCGGCCAUCCAUGGUUAAUAUCCAAGACUCUGAUUGACAAAAGAUUCUUGGAUUGGAAUCUCGUGCUCGGGAACAGGGCUUGUACACUCGUCCAACACAUUGACCACAGAAAAGCAUUGUGUGGGUGUUAAGAAACCGCAACGUUAGAGUCAAGUUCCUCAUUUAUCAGGAGUGAGUGCUGGAGGAGAAAAUUCUAAACAAACCAACGCCAACUCGAUCAAUCAAUAUUUUGAGAGGGUGGUAAGAAGCAACCAUACUUCUCUAAGGUACUUGGGAUCUCAUCAAAUCUCCUUGUACUUUGUAUGGUAUGAUUUUUUAUAUAUAUAUAUUUUUUUCCUUUUACAUCUUUAACUUGGGUUGGAGCUUUGCGUUUGGGUCCCUUGUUUCUGACACGACUCAGCACGGAAACAACUCAAGAACACACUCAUGAAAAGCAAGAGAGCAUUCGUAUACACAAGAAGAGAGACCAGAUCUUGCAUUGUCCAGCCUGCCUUCUCGACUUAAAAAGAGGGAAGUAAAAAUGGAAACUUUGAUCCCUGAUCGAGUUCAAACACUCUGGAAAAGAAAAGUUGCGAGCUCGCGAAGAACGUGUCCCGGAG